rnacentral:rRNA from 1 species
UUAAAUUGAAGAGUUUGAUCAUGGCUCAGAUUGAACGCUGGCGGCAGGCCUAACACAUGCAAGUCGAACGGUAGCAGGAAGAAGCUUGCUUCUUCGCU